UGGGGAAUAUUGGACAAUGGGCGCAAGCCUGAUCCAGCCAUGCCGCGUGUGUGAAGAAGGCCUUUUGGUUGUAAAGCACUUUAAGCGAGGAGGAGGCUACUUGGAUUAAUACUCUAGGAUAGUGGACGUUACUCGCAGAAUAAGCACCGGCUAACUCUGUGCCAGCAGCCGCGGUAAUACAGAGGGUGCGAGCGUUAAUCGGAUUUACUGGGCGUAAAGCGUGCGUAGGCGGCUUCUUAAGUCGGAUGUGAAAUCCCUGAGCUUAACUUAGGAAUUGCAUUCGAUACUGGGAAGCUAGAGUAUGGGAGAGGAUGGUAGAAUUCCAGGUGUAGCGGUGAAAUGCGUAGAGAUCUGGAGGAAUACCGAUGGCGAAGGCAGCCAUCUGGCCUAAUACUGACGCUGGGGUACGAAAGCAUGGGGAGCAAACAGG
rnacentral:rRNA from 2 species